GGGGUGGGCCCGUGGGUCCCAGUACCUGGUCCAGGAGGCAGCGUCUCCCUCCCGUCCGGGAUAAGACACCCCCUCCGCGGGUCCCCUGUCCACUCUGGAGAGGCAGCCCCCACUUGGAGGGACCAGGACCCGAGCCCUGCCCAUCCCCGAAUCCUGGGAGCCCUGCGUGGGGAGUGUCGAGGGCCUGGGUCGGGGGGCAAACUAGUGUGGAGCAAUGAAUCCCGGAAACCCGGCUGCUCACUAAUUACCCAGUAACUAUGGAGGUCCCCCGAAGGACAGACCUGUGCCCUUGAGGCAGGGCCCUGAAGGAGGCCAACUUUAAUGGAGGACCUACCAAGUUCCAGGCAGCAUUCCGAGCCCUGGAAUCCGGUGAUGAACAUGACAGACAAGAUUCCUGCCCCCAAGGAGCUGCACCUUAAUAAGUCCCGCAAUGAAGGAGACAGAACAUAAACAGAGGAAAAUACACAGGAUGCCAGCUUGUGAGAAGUGCUAGCAAAAAAAGACACAAGUAUGUCCAGAGAGUCUGAGGUGUAUACAGCUUUAUGUCUGUGAGAUUCAUCUAUGUCGUCACCUGGA
rnacentral:lncRNA from 1 species